rnacentral:rRNA from 1 species
GAUGAACGCUGGCGGCGUGCCUAAUACAUGCAAGUCGAGCGAACGGACGAGAAGCUUGCUUCUCUGAUGUUAGCGGCGGACGGGUGAGUAACACGUGGAUAACCUACCUAUAAGACUGGGAUAACUUCGGGAAACCGGAGCUAAUACCGGAUAAUAUUUUGAACCGCAUGGCUCAAAAGUGAAAGACGGUCUUGCUGUCACUUAUAGAUGGAUCCGCGCUGCAUCAGCUAGUUGGUAAGGUAACGGCUUACCAAGGCAACGAUGCAUAGCCGACCUGAGAGGGUGAUCGGCCACACUGGAACUGAGACACGGUCCAGACUCCUACGGGAGGCAGCAGUAGGGAAUCUUCCGCAAUGGGCGAAAGCCUGACGGAGCAACGCCGCGUGAGUGAUGAAGGUCUUCGGAUCGUAAAACUCUGUUAUUAGGGAAGAACAUAUGUGUAAGUAACUGUGCACAUCUUGACGGUACCUAAUCAGAAAGCCACGGCUAACUACGUG